GGGAAUGUAGCUCAGUGGUAGAGUGCUUGCCUAGCAGGUUCAAGGCCCUGGGUUCCACCCCCAGCAACCCCA
rnacentral:tRNA from 1 species